rnacentral:rRNA from 1 species
UACGAAGGGGGCUAGCGUUGUUCGGAUUUACUGGGCGUAAAGCGCACGUAGGCGGUUUGUUAAGUCAGGGGUGAAAUCCCACAGCUCAACUGUGGAACUGCCUUUGAUACUGGCAGCUAGAGUCCGGAAGAAGUAAGUGGAACUCCUAGUGUAGAGGUGGAAUUCGUAGAUAUUAGGAAGAACACCAGUGGCGAAGGCGGCUUACUGGUCCGGAACUGACGCUGAGGUGCGAAAGCGUGGGGAGCAAACAGG